rnacentral:rRNA from 1 species
GAUGAACGCUGGCGGCAUGCCUUACACAUGCAAGUCGAACGGUAACAGGUUAAGCUGAUGAGUGGCGAACGGGUGAGUAAUAUAUCGGAACGUGCCCAGUCGUGGGGGAUAACGCAGCGAAAGCUGUGCUAAUACCGCAUACGAUCUACGGAUGAAAGCGGGGGAUCGCAAGACCUCGCGCGAUUGGAGCGGCCGAUAUCAGAUUAGCUAGUUGGUGAGGUAAAGGCUUACCAAGGCUACGAUCUGUAGCUGGUCUGAGAGGACGACCAGCCAAACUGGAACUGAGACACGGUCCAGACUCCUACGGGAGGCAGCAGUGGGGAAUUUUGGACAAUGGGCGCAAGCCUGAUCCAGCAAUGCCGCGUGCAGGAUGAAGGCCUUCGGGUUGUAAACUGCUUUUGUACGGAGCGAAACGGCUUACUCUAAUACAGUGAGCUAAUGACGGUACCGUAAGAAUAAGCACCGGCUAACUGCGUGCCAGCAGCCGCCGUAACAC